AUACGGAGGGUGCAAGCGUUACUCGGAAUCACUGGGCGUAAAGCGCGCGCAGGCGGUCUUUUAAGUUGGAUGUGAAAGCCUACGGCUCAACCGUAGAACUGCAUCCAAAACUAUUAGACUAGAGUGUGGGAGAGGAAGAUGGAAUUAGUUGUGUAGGGGUAAAAUCCGUAGAGAUAACUAGGAAUACCAAAAGCGAAGGCAAUCUUCUGGAACGCUACUGACGCUGAGGCGCGAAAGCGUGGGGAGCAAACAGGAUUAGAAACCCGAGUAGUCC
rnacentral:rRNA from 1 species